UACGUAGGGUGCAAGCGUUGUCCGGAAUUAUUGGGCGUAAAGAGCUCGUAGGCGGUUUUGUUGCGUCGGCUGUGAAAAACCUGAGGCUCAAACCUCAGGCCUGCAGUCGAUACGAGCAGACUAGAGUGUUGCAGGGGGAGACUGGAAUUCCUGGUGUAGCGGUGAAAUGCGCAGAUAUCAGGAGGAACACCGGUGGGCGAAGGC
rnacentral:rRNA from 1 species